UUUUUACUAAGUAUCAAUAAGUGACUUAGUUGAAGUAGGGAUAGCAAAAGUUAAUUAAUACCGUUUUUUGUUUGACUGGAUUGUUCAAGUUAAACCAGAUUAGGCUAAGUAUCUAUACAAAUAUAUAAUUGCAGGACAAAGGUCCGCUGACGUGACACUCUCUAUUUAUUUAUUUUCUCAUUUUUCAUUAAAAAAACUUAAUAUUUAGGAGCCCAAAAGACGCUAUUAAAACCAACCAUCGCUCACUUGGAAAACCAAUCCCACCCCUCGACAGGUAAACCAAAAGCCAAGCCUCAUUGUCUACAAGCUUCCCUUUGAUCCAGUCAAUUAUAUCAUCUGUCUCCGCUUCAAAUUUGUUCGUUCACAAGGAAGAUUUGAGGGACGGGUAAUUCCUUUCUCCUCCAAUUCGAUGUGUGUGAUCGUUUCUACAUGGGCAGUAUGCCCUUUCUGUCAGAACCAGGUCCCUCUCAGCCUAGAUUUCAGCCCUACAAUACUCGAUAAUCUUUUUCUUCCCCUUUUUCCACUUUCUUGAUAAUUUCCAUAAUUGAAUCAAAUUUAUUUAGCCUUAUAAUUAGCAAUCAGUUACGUAACAUGCAUAUCCAUCUUAUUCACGAGACACGAGUUGAGUAAUUGGAUAGUCGUUUGACAAACCUGUGAUGUUCCUUUUCUUAAUGAAAAAUCAAAAGAAACAAUUGGUUUUUUCUUUCUUUGGCCCAGUUAUAAUUUGAUUUGUCAAAGUCCCUGACCAAUCGACGUAUAGAAGAUGCCAAUGAAGUAGUUGACCCAAUAUGAUUGAAAAUUAAACAUAGUUAAGUGCCAAGGAAGUCUUCUUACACUUUUAAUUGAAUGUUUACAUUAUUUCUUUGUGGAUGUUUACUCUUUAACUUCUGUUUUCCUUCAAAUAAACAUAUGCAAAUAAAAAAGUAUCAAAAGGUGGUGCAACAGAAACAUAACAAUUACAAUGAAAAUAUGGAUGUCUUCGAUAAUUGUGGUUGAGGAGGAGGACGAGUUUACUGACUAAUCAAUGGCUUCACAUAGACUGGUCUGUUUUUCUUUUUCGUCUUGCUUUUCUUUGGGUCCAAUUACUGGUGCUAACAGAGAGGUCAGAGGAGAUUCAGAGAAGAACAAUAAUAUUCUAACCCCAAUUCUUAGACUUGGUGGUUUAUUUAUCCGGACAGGAUUCAUGCAAUUGAGAAACAAAUGACUGUUGAAUGGACCAAAGUAGAGGAAAUGAAAUGGGAAGAAGACUUGAAAAUUUGACCCACAAGUUCAAUUGUAGAAUAGUCAGAAUUACACCCCUACCUCCUCUAAGUGUAGGAUUGUAAAUACUCCCACCGGAUCAAAAAGAGUGUCCACUUAGCCUUUAUGUAUGUAGGGGAUAUGAUUUAAACAAAUCAACGCAUACAUCCAUUUUUAAGAAACAACAAUGAAGUAGUAGUAGUUUGUUAUGUUACAAAAUAGACCAAAAAAGAAAUUAACACUUAAGAUGCUAGCUUAUUAAUUUUUAGAUUACAUAAUAUUGUUACAUAAAAUAUGAAAGAAUGGCGUAUAUGUGAUAUCUGAAACCACGUGAGAGGUUUAUGAGAUAAUUUCAUGAUGAAAGGGCAACAUAUAAUUAGUAGUAUUGACUAUAUAAUGCAAGUGCGAGGAGAUAAUAUCAAUAGCAGAUAAAGGCCAAAGUUAUGAAUCCUUCAUCAAAAAAUUAAGAUAGGUUCCUAAGGUAUUUACUGGUCUAAGUUUAUGAAGUUCCCUGUAGAGUCACACAGCUGUUCCGUAAUUCAUGCAAAAACCUUCACACAUUCAAUUGCAAUGGUACACAAGGCAGCGAGGAAAUCUUCAGAGGAGGAGACAUCAAUCGUCCGUGAAAAACUCCAGCAUAAAGAAGCUUCACGUUUGAUUACUUUCUUCUUUUUUUCCUUCGUUUAUUUUUGAGACUUGAGAUUUUUCUUGUUGCUAUAUAAUUGGUUGAAAAUCUGUGGAAAUCUUACUUAGUUUUACUGUGUGCAACUAACGAAAAUCAUUUUUUUUUUUUGUAUUUUUUAUUAUAUUUUGGUAUUUUUUCUUUUGAAAGUUGUGUUUAUCUUGCCAAUCUUGUUUUUUUUUUCCCCCCAUGUGUGGCCAGAGGACAUAUGUAUUUUUGGUUAUCGCGACUUCAUACUUUUAAUAAUUUAUAUAUCUGAGCAAUUGCAUGUAAUAGAGUAUGCAUUUACCAAUAUUUUUCACGAUUGUGAAUUGUGGGAUAAUAUAUGGUACAUAGAAUAUAAAUGAAAAGAAAUGGAAUCUCUUUAUGACAAAUACUAUUGAAAAUAUUGUCGUUAUCAGUAAAGUAUAACACCAAGUUUUGGAUUGGUCAAUGACAUAUUCUUAUACAAUUUGCUUUCUUUCUUAUUUAUUCCUUAAUAGAAAAAGAUUAGUAUGUAAAUUUGAUGAGGUUUAGUAAGAACGCGCGAAGCGCGGGCUGCUUUACUAGUUUCUUAUAAAAGUCAAAGACAGAAUUAUAGUUGGAGAUGGAUGACGAUCAAUUUUUUGCCGGCUUCAAAGUAUUAGAUAUUCAUUUAGUAUUUAAAAUAUUGAUGGAGAUUACAACUUUAUCCAACAUAGAAUAUGACUUGAUAGAAUUUUUAGAGGGUAUAGAAGUCGUUCGCUAUUUAAAGAAUAUUUCGUUCAACCAACAUUUAUACUUGUGCUUUUAUAAUAAUAUAGAAGAUAGAUAGUUUAGAAAGACCUAGGUUUCGACGUGUGUGCUUUAAAAAAAAAGUUGAGGAUAAUUUAGUCUUUUCAUAGCUUAAUGAAACAUGGCUUCAAACCUAAAACAGAAUAGCCACGUAAAUUAGCCAAUCCAUCCCUCAAUACCUCUUGCUAUCAUAAAUUCCCAAUUGCUGGAAACCAGUAGAGGAAAGUGUGAAACGUUAUAUAAACAGAACAUAUUAAGAGUUCGAAGAGGAAAUGGGGGAUCCCUUUUCUAUGUGAUUGAUUUCCUUGAGCCGAGAGACUGAAACACGAUGAACGAAACUUAUGGAGUUUUUAUUUCAAUUUUCGUUUUACUUGAUUCUGAUGAAACAUCGAAAUUGCCUGGUUGCUUUUCUGUAAUUGCACAUUCUUUUAUAACUACAUGCUUUGUUGAUAUAAUGAAAUUAUGGAUCUAUCUCUGAUUCUGAGGAGACUUGCACUGAUUUUCAAUUAUGACCGGUUACCAAGAAAUAAAAAACACCCAAGAGCUUACUUGUCAACAUGGAUAUGUGCCUUUUAACUACUAAUAAAAGAACAACUAAAGUGAACUGCUUCUUUUUCUGGUUUCCAACACUAGAAUAGUUGUUGGGUUAACUAAUAUAUCCAUGUUUUGUAUAUAUUACACCACAUUGUACUAUAAUAGUCCAUUUAACCAAUCAUGCAGAGUUUUGGAAGACUUCCAAUUUGCAAUGUGUUUAAGGCAUGUGUCUGGAAGCAUUUUUAAGUAGGACUGAAAGAGUGUACCUAUCAUUAAGAGUAUGAAUGAAGAGCAUUUUUUUUUAUGUCAGAAUAUUGGCCAUAUUUUCUAUGCCUAUUUGAGUAAUUAGAUAUGUUAUAUUAAAGCUCUAGAUGACCUUCUCAGCACUUCCUUUUUGCUGGUUCUAUAUAUAUAUAUAAAUGCUACACUUUACCCAUCAAAUAAAAGUUUACAGCUUUUGAUGACUAUUUUGUAUUUGAGUUAUUCUCUUAAGGAAAGAACGGAUGAUUUCCUGAAAGGCGAAGUUCAGCAGACGAUAGCUUAUGUUUGGCUAAGUUUAAUGUAUUUGAGAGAAGAGAGAGACAUAAGAUGCUUUGAAGGGGCUAUUUGACGCCGAGCCUGAAGGAAAAGACAGUCACUUCUCUUUUGUAGCUUUGGAUAUUAUUUCUGAAGUCGACAGUUGAGGAUUCUUGGACUCAGAUGCGAACACACAUUUGCUCGCUGAAAAGGAAAAACUUCAGGAGCAAAUGUCGCCUCAGUAUCAAAAGCAUCUUGCUCAGAGAAGGCUUCUUCAUUGCAUGAGCAGCUGACUGGGAAAUAUUCAAUUUCCUAUGGAUGCAGCUUAACUUAGACUAUCUUCAAUGGUGUCAAUGUCAUGGCUAGAGUUGGACUAUUUUCUUCCCUGGUCAAUUGAGAUUUUGUGCAGGAACCGAAUCAAUAAAACAAAUAAUAAUGGAUAUCUAUAUUUUGGCUUGUAAGUCUAAGUGGAACUACUGAUUACCUAUCAAUAAAUAAUAAGAUUGUUCUAGCGGCUCCUAUGUCUUACAGGAUUUUUGCGAGUUUCCCAUAAACAAAGGGGGGGAAAAAAAUUAAAAAGCGUAGAAGCGCCACUAUUGAUUUUCUGAUAUUACAGUCAUGACUUUGGAGCAUUUUGGAUUUCUUAUGGGAUGGAGUCAAUCUUCUGCUCUUUGCAUCUAAGGACUUCUUAAGAACGGGCCUUUAGUUAUAAAAACCAUGAAGGAUUGAUGGGACCUUACUCAGUGAUCCGGUAUACAGGAGCACAUCAUGAGAAAGUACGACUCUCAUCAAGCGGCAUAUAAGUCAUGAAGCAUUCGGCUAUUUAGGUCCAUUACUGGGCUCACCUACUAAACAAUGGCACCAGUGAUGCUUGUUUUUAUGAUUCUGACGACUUGGAAGCAUGCUCACUGCUGCAUAGCAGUUUUACAAACCUAAAAUGUAAUGUAUAAAAACAGUUUUUCAAUGUUCUUGUGCUAUUUCCCAUACUUUAUUAUGAUAUUAUAGUUGCUCUAUUUAGUAUUUGCAACUGCUAAGGAUUUCAAUGAUGCAAUAUAUACGAAAAUGCAUUUGGUAGUUGCACCAUAGGAAUCUAAAGAUGUAUCAUAAUUCAAAUUGUUUGGCCCGUCUA